rnacentral:lncRNA from 1 species
AAGAUGGCGGCUGCCGCGGAGUGCGAUGUGGUAAUGGCGGCGACCGAGCCGGAGCUGCUCGACGACCAAGAGGCGAAGAGUCCCACGCCUUUGACAUCUCAUCCUUCAGUCCCUUUGCUGUAAAGGCAACUUGAACAAGCUUCAGCCCUUUCUCAGACUUCCAGGGCAGGACUUGAAUGGAUUUGACACUGGAAUUGUUCCUGAUGCAGCCUUGUUCAGUUCUUGCUGCUGCCAUGCUGGAUUCCAAAGAUCCACUCUUUCCUCGACUGGUCUCGCAGGGGAAGCAGAGACUUUCAAGGAACAAGGAAAUGCAUACUAUGCCAAGAAAGAUUACAAUGAAGCUUAUAAUUAUUAUACAAAAGCCAUAGAUAUGUGUCCUAAAAAUGCUAGCUAUUAUGGUAAUCGAGCAGCCACCUUGAUGAUGCUUGGAAGGUUCCGGGAAGCUCUUGGAGAUGCACAACAGUCAGUGAGGUUGGAUGACAGUUUUGUCCGGUUCAAGAAUGCUAAUGCAGUCAUGGAAUAUGAGAAAAUAGCAGAAACAGAUUUUGAGAAGCGAGAUUUUCGGAAG